UACGUAGGGUGCAAGCGUUAAUCGGAAUUACUGGGCGUAAAGCGUGCGCAGGCGGUUGUGCAAGACAGAGGUGAAAUCCCCGGGCUUAACCUGGGAACUGCCUUUGUGACUGUACGGCUAGAGUGUGUCAGAGGGGGGUAGAAUUCCACGUGGUAGCAGUGAAAUGCGUAGAUAUGUGGAGGAAUACCGAUGGCGAAGGCAGCCCCCUGGGAUAACACUGACGCUCAUGCACGAAAGCGUGGGGAGCAAACAGG
rnacentral:rRNA from 1 species